UGAUCUCCACCCGUGUACACUGUCGGGGUUACUACGACAGGAAGGCGAGUAUCAGUAUUACCAGCAAGAGAAAGAGCACAAACUGUGUUAACAAGAGGAAGAAAAGAUAGGUACAGCAACAAAUGUGUCUACAGGAGAACGCUACAGCAGCAGGAAGAGGCAGGUGGCAAGGAGUAUCGGGAACAUGCGCCGUGGCGAGCUGAGAGGGAGGGAGGGAGAGGGACCCGACACACACCUCUCACUCAGUGAUCCCCGGACCAUCGGUGUGAGGCCGUCUUUCACCACCGCUCCAUUUUACUACACAAUAUCUUCCCUACUCUCCUUACAACCCAAGGUUGGUGGAUCGUCGGACUGGCAGCGGCGUAUAGGAAGUAUCGUCCGGACCAGCCAAAACAUUUCGCCUCCUCUGAAUAAAUGAAAGAAGAAUUACAUAGUCUAGGCUGACAUAACACAACGAAUGACACGUAGUGAUAUAAUAAUGGUUUCCUAAGAA